rnacentral:rRNA from 1 species
UACAGGGGGUGCAAACGUUGCUCGGAAUCAUUGGGCGUAAAGCGCACGUAGGCGGUCUGUUAUGUCGGAUGUGAAAGCCCUCGGCUUAACUGAGGAAGUGCAUCCGAAACUGGCAGGCUAGAGUACUAAAGAGGGUCGCGGAAUUCCCGGUGUAGAGGUGAAAUUCGUAGAUAUCGGGAGGAACACCGGUGGCGAAGGCGGCGACCUGGGUCGAGACUGACGCUGAGGUGCGAAAGCGUGGGGAGCAAACAGG